ACAUGUGGAGCUUGGCCUGCUCGUGGUUGUAGGGGAUGGAGUUUGGCCUAUUCCUGGUCUUUGAGAUGCCAGAGGGGCUUAAAAAGAAAAAACAAAAUACAUUUUGGAGACAGAAAGAGAGGGUGACACCCCAGAGGCGGAGAGCACAGGCCUUCAUAUCUGAAGAUGACACUGAGAUUCCCAGAAAUCCCUGAUCCUGAGAUCACUGACCUGGAUGAAAUAAAGCGCUUGCCAAUUCAUAAAUUCUGCACGCAGUCAUCAAAAGUUGUCUCACUGUGGACAUGUUAUUUGUAAGUCCCCCGAGAAAGCACUUACCACCUUUAGAAAGCUAUUUAUUGAUCUAUCAAAUUCUUAAAGCUGAACCACUAU
rnacentral:lncRNA from 1 species